rnacentral:rRNA from 1 species
CCUACGGGAGGCAGCAGUUAGGAAUAUUCGUCAAUGGAGGAAACUCUGAACGAGCAAUGCCGCGUGAAGGAUGACGGUCCUAUGGAUUGUAAACUUCUGUUGUUAGGGAAGAACGACCUAAGUAGGAAAUGACUUAGGAGUGACGGUACCUUUCAAGAAAGCUCCGGCUAACUACGUGCCAGCAGCCGCGGUAAUACGUAGGUGGCGAGCGUUAUCCGGAAUGAUUGGGCGUAAAGGGUGCGCAGGCGGUCCUGCAAGUCUGGAGUGAAACGCAUGAGCUCAACUCCUGCAUGGCUUUGGAAACU